GCCGGGUGUGGUGGUGCAUGCCUGUAAUCCAAGCUACUUGGGAGGCUGAAGCAGGAGAAUCACUUGAACCCAGGAUGUGGAGUCUGCAGUGAGCCAAGAUCAUGCCACUACACUCCAGCCUGGGUGACAGAGAGAGACUCUGUCUCAA
rnacentral:SRP_RNA from 1 species